UGCUCAUUAGUUAUGCAAUUAAAUAACUUUAUAAUUUUUAAAGGUAUCAUGCCUCCUAAGACAAAAAUGAUGGUUAUUGGCAAUUUAAAAAAAUAUAUAAUCGCUAACUUUACAUUGGCUACCAAAAUGAGCAUUGAUUGUAGAAGUGGGCAUAUACUAUUUAUAUUUAUUAACAACGGAGAGUUAUUUAAUAAAACUGUUGCACAAGUUUAUGAGCAUUUUAGCAUUAACACUUGCAAAAAUCAAAUCCAAAAACUUUUUAGUGUAGUAAAAAAACGGUCUUAUAACUUUUCAAGAAAUGACACUAAUGUAGCUGACUUUUGCAACAAGCCAUUUGUGCUCCAUGCCCUGGUGCUGACAGUCUCACAGUCAUUGCCACUUACCUCUAGUCCAAUUGAUACUGUAUCUUGUUCUUCAAUUGUAUCAUCAGAAAAUAUCAGUUUUAUAUCUCCAGUAAGUAGUGCAAAGCUAACUCCCACAAGCAAUAGCAAAAAUAAACAAAAUCUGCAUAUUUUACGAGAAAAAAUGACUCUUACAAAAAAAAAGUUACAGAGUUGGUUAUUUUAUUUGACAUCACAAUUAGCUAACUCUUCUAAAGAACAACGUUAUAAGAUAGCAUUAUUGAAAUCUGAAUUGAACAACAUGCCCUACAAAAUAAAAGUUUAAAGACAUUUAAAGUUUAAGCAUUUAAAGUAAAAAAGAAAUUAUAAAAGCUUCGAGAGCUGGAGUUAGAAACUUGAAACAAAAAAUUUAAAUCAUGUUACUGCAAUAGGUAUAUUCACAAUCUUGUAAUGAAAAAAAGGAAAUGAAAAUUGAAGUUAGAGAACAGCUAAGACAAGUAAUGCUCAAACAUAAUACUGUUAGUAGAGAAAAUAAAAUUGAAAUUGCUAGAUUAAAAAAUGAUCUGACCUAAAUGGAGGAGGUUGAUUGUAUUGCUUCAGUUACGUCAGGAGAUAAUAAAGCUUACUACAAUCUAGAAUGAUAAUCUAUAGCAUUUUAUUGUGUAAUGUUCCAACAGGUAACAUUCUAAUUCUAUUGGAAAAAACUGCACAAUAUUUUAGUGUUGGUUUGUUGCAUAUUCCCAAGCGUAUUACUGUUGAGCAAAUGGCUCGUGAGGUUGGUUGCAUAUCUGACAUGCAAGCUGCAGAGUGGCCCAUCUGCAAUACAAAUCUUACUCUUGGGUUUGACGCCACCAUGCAGGAAGGUGUUCAUAUUAAUAGUGUCCACUUAAGGUCAAAAAAUAAAUGUCAGGUCAUUGCUUUGGACCAAUUGCCUGGAUUGUCUGAUUAUGAUGAAAAUUUGAUUAUAAUUGUCUGAUGAUUAUGAAAAACAUAUAGGUAAUGCAGUGGAUAAUAUGGCUUCAAUUUAUUCCAAUUUUCAACACUACUGUAUUUUGUAACACAACUGCUAUAAAACUGUGUAUUCGUGGUUUAUUUGGAAAACUUCUCAGUGGGCCAUGGAUGACUAAUUUUAAUUUGAUAGUGAUAAAUUAAGAUAGUAAAGAGUUGAUGGGUAUGUUUAGUGAAGCUAAAGGGAGAUCCCUAAUGCAGCUAUUUGUUAUAUAUCUUGCAAAUUGCGAUUUAAAAAGAAUAUGACUAGAUUAUCUUGAAAGUCUUGACCAAAUAGAGAGAGAAAAUGUAGUUAAGUGGUCUAUUAAAGCAGCUCGUAUAAAAAGAAUAGCAAAUUGACUGAAUUAUACUGCAUUAUGAGCAGAGAUUUCAAAAAGACAGACAUACAAAAGGCAAAAGAUGGGUGAAAAAGAAAAAAGGAAAAUGGAGCAAGAGCUGAGUUCGCUAUCUUUUAAUGAAAUAAAGAAUUUAUAUGAGCACUUGUCUACUAAGCAACUUGAUGACUUAUAUGAUUUAAUGUAUGAAAGAAUUGUUGGAAGAGAACUCUGCCAUGAAUGGUUUGAUACAAAUAAUAGCAAGUCUGUCAUUUAUGAUGGGAAAGUAGAAAAAGUCAAUAAAAGAAAAGAAGACAGAAUUUAUACUAUUUCCUUCUGGAAAAAAGAUGAAACUGUUGACCAUUACAUGUAAAAAUUCCAACUUGCUGCUGAUAUUGUAUCAGGAGAGUUGAUAUUUUCUUAAUUUAAUAUGCUUUAAUGUUACUCAAUAUUAUUGUGCUUUAAUGUUACUGUCUAAUAGAAAAAGAAGUAUUGCAUGUGGUGUGACUUGCAAAAAGGUAUUGAAAAAACAGAUACUUUUUUUCAUCUAAUGUGGUAAUUUUGUUGAUGCAAAACAGAUACAACAAGUAGUGACUUGCAAUUAAAGUACCGCAUAUGGUGUGGCUAGCAAAAAUAUACCACAAGUGCAAAAUAGUAAUGGUAUUCGAACGCUGAUAUAAAGAAAGAAUGGCAACAUCUUAUAAUGUGGUAAAAUGAUGCAUCUUGUAAUGUGGUUGGAGGGCGUUGUGGCACACACCCCUUCCCUUGAUUCUAAAUGUGCCCUACUAGUGUGAAGACGAGAAAUUUUUGUAAUUUUUUUUAAAAAAAUUUUGUAUUUAUUAUAAGGCUUAUUUUUUUUUAAUAAAGAUAAAAAUAUUUAUUGAAAUUUUUUUUUAGUUAAUGGGUGUGUUAAACUGACACCCUUACACCCACCAUAACACAAUAAUAAACUUCUCUUAAUUUGGAAUGGUCUGAAGCAAAUUAUAACUACUUCUUGCAUAUGAAAAUUAAAAA
rnacentral:lncRNA from 1 species